GAUGAACGCUGGCGGCGUGCCUAAUACAUGCAAGUCGAGCGAACAGACGAGGAGCUUGCUCCUCUGACGUUAGCGGCGGACGGGUGAGUAACACGUGGAUAACCUACCUAUAAGACUGGGAUAACUUCGGGAAACCGGAGCUAAUACCGGAUAAUAUAUUGAACCGCAUGGUUCAAUAGUGAAAGACGGUUUUGCUGUCACUUAUAGAUGGAUCCGCGCCGCAUUAGCUAGUUGGUAAGGUAACGGCUUACCAAGGCAACGAUGCGUAGCCGACCUGAGAGAGUGAUCGGCCACACUGGAACUGAGACACGGUCCAGACUCCUACGGGAGGCAGCAGUAGGGAAUCUUCCGCAAUGGGCGAAAGCCUGACGGAGCAACGCCGCGUGAGUGAUGAAGGUCUUCGGAUCGUAAAAAUCUGUUAUUAGGGAAGAACAAAUGUGUAAGUAACUAUGCACGCCUUGACGGUACCUAAUCAGAAAGCCACGGAUAACUACGUG
rnacentral:rRNA from 1 species